rnacentral:rRNA from 1 species
GACGAACGCUGGCGGCGUGCCUAAUACAUGCAAGUCGAACGCAGUGGGGACGGGUGAGUAACACGUGGGUAACCUCCCAUCAGAGGGGAUAACACUUGGAAACAGGUGCUAAACCGAUACUGAUGGAUGAACCCGCGGUUCAUUAGCUAGUUGGUGAGGUAACGGCUCACCAAGGCGACGAUGCAUAGCCGACCGUAGAGGGUGACCGGCCACACGUGGACUGAGACACGGCCCAGACUCCGACGGGAGGCAGCAGUGGGGAAUCUGCGGCAAUGGACGCAAGCCUGAGCGAGCAACGCCGCGUGUGUGAAGAAGGUUUUCGGGUCGUAAAGCACUGUUGUUAUAGAAGCGGUAUCUAACCAGAAAGCCACGGCUAACUACGUGCCAGCAGCCGCGGUAAUAC